GCUGAAUUGUUUGCUGACGUUCAAUUGACCUCUUCUUUAUGAAAUCGGCAUAUAUAAUGGCAGACUUUUUGUCGACUUUGGUGUCUCUUGUAGCGUUUCGAGGAUGUGUGUUCUUGGCGACUGAUACAUUGGUGCCUCGCGAACUAGAUAUGUUUUCGUGAUGUUCUUGUGACUGCCUGCUGCAGAUUCAUGAUUUUUCUGGAUUAUUUUUAUUCUGUCUUCCACUGGAGAAGUGAUAACAAUAUCAAGACAAACGGAAAUCAAUACAGAUCAAACAGAGUACGCGCAAGAUUAACAAUCAAGCCUCACAUGAGGUGAGCAUGUUCCUUAGAGCUAUCAAGAGGGAAUGGUUCUACCAGCGUGAAUAAAGAAUUAGCGAUGUCUGGUGAACAGAGAGAUCUCUCGCGAACUUGAGCAAAUGGAGGUUUAUUAAUUUCAUUUGGAGCUUUGGAGCUCAAGGUUUUGAUAUAGCACCAGGAUACAUGCAAUGGAGACUUAUGAGAGAGCUCGGCGACUUCUAAAAGUCGAAUAGUAACUAGCUGGGAGAGCAUUCCAGUGGAAGAAUGGAACGUGCGUUCCCCUAACUUAAGGGAUAGUCUCGCAAAUCAGAGCUCAACGAGGUACGUCGCAAUUAUCGAGUCGAAGGACAUGUAUUCCUUGGGACCUAAUGGUUAUUAGUAUUAUUAGAAUUAUUAUUAGCCAGCGAGA